rnacentral:rRNA from 1 species
UACGUAGGGUGCGAGCGUUAAUCGGAAUUACUGGGCGUAAAGCGUGCGCAGGCGGUUUUGUAAGUCUGUCGUGAAAGCCCCGGGCUCAACCUGGGAAUGGCGAUGGAGACUGCAAGGCUAGAAUCUGGCAGAGGGGGGUAGAAUUCCACGUGUAGCAGUGAAAUGCGUAGAGAUGUGGAGGAACACCGAUGGCGAAGGCAGCCCCCUGGGUCAAGAUUGACGCUCAUGCACGAAAGCGUGGGGAGCAAACAGG